UACGAACUGUGCAAACGUUAUUCGGAAUCACUGGGCUUAAAGGGUGCGUAGGCGGUCAUCUAAGUAGGGUGUGAAAGCCCUCGGCUUAACCGAGGAAUUGCGCCCUAAACUGGAUGGCUGGAGUGAGAUAGGGGUGUGUGGAACUUCCGGUGGAGCGGUGAAAUGUGUUGGUAUCGGAAGGAACGCCGGUGGCGAAAGCGACACACUGGGUCUCAACUGACGCUGAGGCACGAAAGCCAGGGGAGCAAACGGG
rnacentral:rRNA from 1 species